rnacentral:rRNA from 1 species
GUGCCAGCAGCCGCGGUAAUACGGAGGGGGUUAGCGUUGUUCGGAAUUACUGGGCGUAAAGCGCACGUAGGCGGAUUAGAAAGUUGGGGGUGAAAUCCCGGGGCUCAACCCCGGAACUGCCUCCAAAACUACUAGUCUAGAGUUCGAGAGAGGUGAGUGGAAUUCCGAGUGUAGAGGUGAAAUUCGUAGAUAUUCGGAGGAACACCAGUGGCGAAGGCGGCUCACUGGCUCGAUACUGACGCUGAGGUGCGAAAGUGUGGGGAGCAAACAGGAUUAGAUACCCUGGUAGUCCACACCGUAAACGAUGAAUGCCAGUCGUCGGGUAGUAUACUAUUCGGUGACACACCUAACGGAUUAAGCAUUCCGCCUGGGGAGUACGGUCGCAAGAUUAAAACUCAAA